UAUGGGUAUGCAAAAUAAUAUACAGAUGGCCCUGUCUGAAGAAUUACAAAGGAUUGCCUAGGCCCUUUUGGUUAUCCAGGUGUUUUCUAUUUUUUUCCACUGCCAGGGUGGCUUGUGUUAAAUCUGGAAAGACAGAUGCCUUACCAAAUGCAGAUCAAAUCCUGAAUGCAUUGAUGAUGACAGUAUGACCAUUAAAAACUCCUAUAUAUGAAAGAGAGGGAUUGGGAAAAUGUCUGGUUUGUUUGCUUGUUUGUCUGAAUCUUGGAUUCUUUGCCUCACCUCUGUCCAGAGAGGAUUUGAGAAGACUGAACAAUUAUAACAAAAAAGCAAAUCUAAAUACGGCAGGAAAAGCAGACCCCAGAUGGAGGACAUUGGCAUUCCGGCUUACGAGUCAGACUCUGAGGAGCUUGAUAAGAGUGAGUCAGCCUCCCUGAGUCUGAUCAACUUGGGAAUGCUGACGACCCUGUGAUAAUUUUAGUAGAAAGACAUAUUGCCUGCCCCUGGAGACAUCCAACCCCAUCCUCACCAUCCACAAGUAUUCUUAUCAUUAGAGAAAAAGAAACAAAUCACUUCAAGCAAGAUUGUCUUUUGUAGUGCAAAUUCUGUAAGAAAUUUAUCAGGUAAGAUUUUGCAUCGGAUAUUCUGGCCUAAGUAGUUGAUGACACCUGGAAACACAGGCAGAGGGCUGGUGGUUUUAAUAGUAUCCUUUGAUAAGAACUGAGGGCUGCCAUUAGAGCCUGAAGAAAAAUACUUCUAAAUAAGGCCAAGAUAAUGUGUUCCAAGUGGUACCAUGUUUUCAGCGAUCUGGACUAAUGCAUAAAUGAAACUUUGAGUGCCUAGGGAAUUGCCUUCCAAAAAUCCUCCAGAUGGUCACUUCCCCAGGAAGAGAGCCUAGAGGCAACCCAGGAUUACAUUCUCUAUGAAGAGUCUGGAAUCUAUAAGGAGAAUUUAGUCUAGAGGAAGGGCCUGAGAUCCUUUUCCUGAGUUUGUUGGUUGAGGGAGCAUCCUACACUUUGGGAUUUGGGAAAGCGGAAACUUACUCAAUUUCAUAUCCUUGUUUGGAAAUACAGAAUCCUAACCAAGACCCUGGCCUCAAAGGAGAACUGCUCAGCUUCUACAGAGAGUGACUAAACAGAUAAACUGAUGGAAAAAUAAAAAUUUUUCUCAAACAGUUGUAUUUAUUCUCUUGUAGCAAAUAAGCAAACGGCUGACUCAGCCUCUGAAGAUCACCACUAUGAUGAGUUUUACCUGUGAGGCUUCUAAAGCAGAAGUUGCCAUGAGCAUCUGGUCACUGUGCCUAUGGAGACACAGCCAGGAAACAUAUUAAAGGAUAUUAAUUUAGAUGAUUAAAUG
ensembl:lincRNA